CGGGAUGUAGCGUAGUCCGGUCAUCGCGCCACUUUUGGGAAGUGGAGGUCGCAGGUUCGAAUCCUGCUAUCCCGACCA
rnacentral:tRNA from 1 species